rnacentral:misc_RNA from 1 species
AGAUUCCUAGACAAAGCUGCCAUUGUUCCUAAAGACCUGAACAUUGCACCACGGACAGUAUGCACUGUGACCCAAGUUGAAGAAGUGAAGAUCCUAACAAGAAUGUUGCCUAUAUUAUUCAGUACUAUCAUAAUGAACACGUGCUUAGCUCAACUCCAGACCUUCUCAGUACAACAGGGAUUCAUGAUGAACAAGCACCUGGGCAAGUUCGAGGUUCCUGCACCUUCAGUUCCCGUAAUUCCACUACUUUUCAUGGUCAUACUCAUUCCUGCCUACGAGUUCCUUUUUGUUCCUUUUGCUCGAAAG